rnacentral:rRNA from 1 species
ACUUGACUAGCUGAGAGGAGGUGCAUGGCCGUCGUCAGUUCGUACUGUGAAGCAUCCUGUUAAGUCAGGCAACGAGCGAGACCCACGCCAACAGUUGCCAGCUCGUCCUCCCGGGGAUGGUGGGGACACUGUUGGGACCGCCUCUGCUAAAGAGGAGGAAGGAAUGGGCAACGGUAGGUCAGCAUGCCCCGAAUUAUCUGGGCUACACGCGGGCUACAAUGGGUGGGACAAUGGGUAUCGACACCGAAAGGUGAAGGCAAUCUCCUAAACCCAUCCGUAGUUCGGAUUGUGGGCUGCAACUCGCCCACAUGGAGCUGGAAUCUGUAGUAAUCGUGUCUCAAAAUGGCACGGUGAGUAUGUCCCUGCUCCUU